AUUGGUGACAGGUGGUGCAUGGUUGUCGUCAGCUCGUGUCGUGAGAUGUUGGGUUAAGUCCCGCAACGAGCGCAACCCUUGUCUUUAGUUGCCAUCAUUAAGUUGGGCACUCUAGAGAGACUGCCAGGGAUAACCUGGAGGAAGGUGGGGAUGACGUCAAAUCAUCAUGCCCCUUAUGCUUAGGGCUACACACGUGCUACAAUGGGUAGUACAGAGGGUUGCCAAACCGUAAGGUGGAGCUAAUCCCUUAAAGCUACUCUCAGUUCGGAUUGUAGGCUGAAACUCGCCUACAUGAAGCUGGAGUUACUAGUAAUCGCAGAUCAGAAUGCUGCGGUGAAUGCGUUCCCGGGUCUUGUACACACCGCCCGUCACACCACGGGAGUUGGAGACGCCCGAAGCCGAUUAUCUAACCUUUUGGAAGAAGUCGUCGAAGGUGGAAUCAAUAACUGGGGUGAAGUCGUAACAAGGUAGCCGUAUCGGAAGGUGCGGCUGGAUC
rnacentral:rRNA from 1 species